UACGGAGGGUGCGAGCGUUGUCCGGAAUCACUGGGCGUAAAGGGCGCAUAGGCGGCUCAUGAAGGCUGUGGUGAAAGUCCGGGGCUCAACCUCGGAUCGGCCGUGGCGACUCGUGGGCUGGAGCACUGUAGAGGCGGGUGGAAUUCCGGGUGUAGCGGUGGAAUGCGUAGAGAUCCGGAAGAACACCAGUGGCGAAGGCGGCCUGCUGGGCUGUUGCUGACGCUGAGGCGCGACAGCGUGGGGAGCAAACAGG
rnacentral:rRNA from 1 species